UACGGAGGGGGCAAGCGUUGUUCGGAAUUACUGGGCGUAAAGGGCGCGUAGGCGGCCGAUCGCGUCAGGUGUGAAAGCCCCGGGCUCAACCUGGGAAUGGCACUUGAUACGGAUUGGCUUGAAGCCGGAAGAGGAGGGUGGAAUUCCCAGUGUAGAGGUGAAAUUCGUAGAUAUUGGGAAGAACACCGAUGGCGAAGGCAGCCCUCUGGUCCGGUCUUGACGCUGAGGCGCGACAGCGUGGGGAGCAAACAGG
rnacentral:rRNA from 1 species